GGGGGCAACCCUGUUAGUGGCAAACGGGUGCGUAACGCGUAAAUAACCUGCCCUCAACGGGGCAAUAGCUUUGCGAAAGCGGAGGUAAUGGCCCAUGGUCUUACCGGGUCACCUGACCUGGUGAGUAAAGCCUUUGGGUGGUUGAGGAGGGAUUUGCGUCUGAUUAGGUAGUUGGGGGGGUAGUGGCCCACCAAGCCGAUGAUCAGUCGGGGCUCUGAGAGGAGGGUCCCCCACAUGGGCACUGAGACACGGGCCCAACUCCUACGGGAGGCAGCAGUAGGGAAUAUUGGGCAAUGGGCGAGAGCCUGACCCAGCCAUGCCGCGUGCAGGACGAAGGCCCUCUGGGUUGUAAACUGCUUUUAUCUGGGAAGAAGAGUACUGAUGCGUCAGUAUGUGACGGUACCAGAGGAAUCAGCACCGGCUAACUCCGUGCCAGCAGCCGCGGUAAUACGGAGGGUGCAAGCGUUGUCCGGAUUUAUUGGGUUUAAAGGGUGCGUAGGUGGCCCCUUAAGUCAGCUUUGAAAGCUGGUCGCUCAACGAUCAGGGGUGGGUUGAUACUGGGGGGCUUGGAUCAGGUGGCGGUUUCUGGAACGGGUCGUGUAGCGGUGAAAUGCAUAGAUAUGACCCAGA
rnacentral:rRNA from 1 species